rnacentral:misc_RNA from 1 species
AAAAACUACGUGGGUGGGCCGCCGCCACCACCACCACCGCCUUCUAACAACUAUGUGGGUGGGCCGCAGAACAUGGGAGGAAUACCUCAGAACAACUUUGGAGCUUCGCCUCCCAACACGGGAGGAAUGCCCCAAAAUCCUGGAUGGUCUAAUAACAUGCCACAGAACUUCCAGAAUGGGCGCAAUGAUGGAGGCAUACAUCACCAAGGUACACCAUCAAACUACCAGAAUAACUACACUUCAAAUAGGGAUGGAAGCUUGCCUGGUGGAAACCCCUAUAGUGCCUGAACGAUCC